CGGCCGUCUUUUUGGUUUCACUCUGCAUACAAACGGCGCAAAAUCCUAAAAAAGGUUGAUACCCUUUCGCCUCUGAGUCACAGAGCAGCAAACUGAGCUCAAGUGGCUCCUGUAGAUCAGAAGUAAUCCUCUGAGCGCUGGAACUGUGAGAUCUAAUUAGCGUUGUUGUGAGGCCGUUAGUGCCUCUCCGCCUCCGCUUCGUACCGGCUCACGCCAACGCCGCUGUGUUUGGCGAAGCCGUAAACAAAGAGCACGAGCGGGAUACACGAUGCAUCGCGUUGAAUUUAGUUUGGUAACGAGCGCUCAUAUCUAAUGAGACUUCACACGCAGUCACGAGGAGGCCGGAAGUGCCUCAAAGUCGCGUUCUCUCUUGUUUUUGACAGAACUCAGUUCAUCAACGUUCAGAAUCAGAAGCCGUUCUUUGCCACGUAUGUUACACAUACAGCAAUGUGAAAAGAAAACAAUAAAAUAAGAUACCAAUACACAAGCAAAAAUGAACAAUAUUAAACAGAUAAGAGAAGUACCACUGUGCAGAUGUCCUGUGUCCUGUGUCCUGUGUCCUGUGUCUGGGUCGGCGGGGACUCGGACUUCAUUUUUUUGUUUGUGCAGGCGUUAAUGAUACGAGAGCGCACAGAAGAGAGAGAAGAAGAAGAGAGGGAGGACGCCUCGUCCCAAAGACAGCACAUGUGUUUUGUGGACCAGGAAGUGACUUUUACAGUGUGUUUACGCUCUGUGGGGGAAAUGAACAUGCAUGUGGCAUCAAAGCACCUCCAGGACACCACUGAACAUCAGACAUCGUCGCUUCUCCCCACCUAUCAGACAACGUAUAUCUGUACAUGCUGCUUUUUAAUCUAAUUUAAAUGAAUAUAAUCUUCUUUUAUACUCUAACACAUUGUCCGCUUAGAACUUGAUGUAUAUGCACAACUAAUAUAAACUUAUAUCUUCAAGUCUUUGACCAGAAAUGGUAGAAGAGUAGAGAGUUUAAAACAGAGAACAUUCCAAGUUUUUUAACCAACAAAAAUGUAUACAACUGCUACUGAUGAAGGAAAAUAUGAGAAAAUAAAUAAUACAAAUAUUUUCAAAGACCAGAGACACAAGACAACAUUGUAUUUGAGGCGGGAGAACGUGGACACACACUUACGAUGGGUUUGGUGAACUGAUGGUUCAGCAGUAAAUAUUGUGAUCAAGCUGUCACAGUGUAUAAACAUCUGUACACAGACAGAGUGAGAGAGCAGAAAGAUUAGCAGACUUUGAGACAGACGGAGACGAGGGACGGAGACAAACGGCCAACGGCAGCCGGUGAGAGGAGGCGAAGGAGCAAAGACGUUGAAUGCAUGAGAUGUGAGUUCAGAGGCAGCGGCGAGGUGACGUCAUGAGAAGAGUCGGCUUCCGUCCUCUUGCACUCAAACGCCUGCUCACACACUUGACCCACAAACACGACUUGUUGUUAUUGGAGGUCCUACUAAAUAAGAUUAUUUGUUAUUUAUCAUUUCAUAUAUUUCACAAGGUUAGAAGUUAGAGGACCAGAGCUGUGGAAACGUAUCUACAAUCCAUCUGUUAAUCUGCUGUCGCUGUAAUUCCUCUAAUCAAGAGGAGCGAUGGAUUUAAGGAGAGUAAAGAAAAAGGAGAAGAGAUGGAAGGAGGCAGAUGUGUGGAGGAGAGAAAGGGUGUGGCAGAUGUGUGGAGGAGAGAAAGGGUGAGGCAGAUGUGUGCAGGAGAGAAAGGGGGAGGCAGAUGUGUGAAGGAGAGAAAGGAGGAGGCAGAUGUGUGCAGGAGAGAAAGGGGGAGGCAGAUGUGUGCAGGAGAGAAAGGGGGAGGCAGAUGUGUGCAGGAGAGAAAGGGGGAGUCAGAUGUGUGCAGGAGAGAAAGGGGGAGUCAGAUGUGUGCAGGAGGGAAAGGGGGAGUCAGAUGUGUGCAGGAGAGAAAGGGGGAGUCAGAUGUGUGCAGGAGGGAAAGGGGGAGUCAGAUGUGUGCAGGAGAGAAAGGGGGAGGCAGAUGUGUGCAGGAGGGAAAGGGGGAGGUAGAUGUGUGGGGGGGGAUCAUGAAUAUUGCACAGCAGGUUUACUACUUGGAGGCGAGGGCUUCCCUUCCCUGUUUAUUCCCCGCCGACACACUCAGCCCUGUGCUGCAUUGUGUAACGCUAUCCCUGUUUAAC
ensembl:lncRNA